UUUGGAAGAAAAAAGGAGAGCAUGCAAUAUUCUGCAAAAAAUAUCUCAUAGUGAGGCAAGUCCUUUGAAGUUGCUCUAGUUAUUAAACUGAGGCUAAGCUUGGCCUACAAGGCCUAAAAUAUCGUUGUGACACAAAGCUGUGGCCCAAGGCAAGGUUCUCUGCAUAGGUACAUACAGCUAGCAGGAAACUGGGAUGCACUGGAUAUACCAAUAUUGUCUUCUGACAGCCUGAAAGUGGAGGAUAAGUCACGACCAGAAGGGGGUUCCUCUGUGGUGUAAUUCCUGCUUCUAACUCUUUCAAUAUUGUGGAUUUUCAGAUGUAAAGAGAAAUCACCAAAACGCUUGAGCAUGAUCAGUCUCCUCAGGACCAUUACCUGGAUUAUCUUUGUUCCUCUAAUAUCUGACAUUUCAGACACCUUCAAAGGUGAAGAGGUAGAAGAAGCAGAUUACCAGAUGUCUCAAGAUACAACAAAACAUUUAAAAAUGAUGAACCUAGAGAAAGCAAGACCAGGCUUCGGGAAUCUCCAGAGAACAAGGGGAAGGUCAAGCAAGGAGCACUUACCCUUGGUGGAAGAGGGCCAAGUCCAGGAAUACUUAAACAAGCUGGACCAUGGGCCAUGGGCCUUAAUGGGAUGCACCCACUCUCAAUAAUAUUUCAAGAAUCACAGUAAUUGAAUGAAGCACUCAAUGACUUGAGGAGAUCAAAUGUCACUUCCAUCUCCAAAAAGAGCAAGAACAACAAUCCAGGAAACUGUAUAACAGUCAACCUGACCUUAACUCCUGGGAAGUGAUGGAACAACUGAUCUUGACACAUGAAGGACAAGAAAAUCAUCAGUAAUAGUCACCAUGGCUCCACCGAGGGGAUGUCAGUUUUGACCAACCUCCUGUGAUGAAAUGCUUGGC
ensembl:lncRNA